UACAGAGGUCUCAAGCGUUGUUCGGAUUCAUUGGGCGUAAAGGGUGCGUAGGUGGCGCGCUAAGUCAGGUGUGAAAUUUCGGAGCUUAACUCCGAAACUGCAUUUGAUACUGGCGUGCUUGAGGACUGGAGAGGAGACUGGAAUUCACGGUGUAGCAGUGAAAUGCGUAGAUAUCGUGAGGAAGACCAGUGGCGAAGGCGGGUCUCUGGACAGUUCCUGACACUGAGGCACUAAGGCCAGGGGAGCAAACGGG
rnacentral:rRNA from 1 species